rnacentral:ncRNA from 2 species
CCUGCAAGCUAGGGGUGUCCGACUCGCAUCGGACUGAGAUCAUACCCUCAGAACCUGACCUGGUUAAUACCAGCGGAGGAAAGCGUUGCUUGAGGUUA